GGAGGGGUACCGAAGUGGUUUAACGGAGCGGUUUCGAAAACCGCGACUCGCAAGAGUCUCGUGAGUUCGAAUCUCACCCCCUCCG
rnacentral:tRNA from 1 species